GUGUAUAUGGCUCAGGGGUUAAGAGCACUGGCUGCUCUUCCAGAGGUCCUGAGUUCAAUUCUCAGCAACUACA
rnacentral:tRNA from 1 species